AGCAGCCGCCGCGGUAAUACGAAGGGGGCAAGCGUUGUCCGGAAUUAUUGGGCGUAAAGCGCGCGCAGGUGGUUUAAUAAGUCUGAUGUGAAAGCCCACGGCUCAACCGUGGAGGGUCAUUGGAAACUGUUAAACUUGAGUGCAGGAGAGAAAAGUGGAAUUCCUAGUGUAGCGGUGAAAUGCGUAGAGAUUAGGAGGAACACCAGUGGCGAAGGCGGCUUUUUGGCCUGUAACUGACACUGAGGCGCGAGAGCGUGGGGAGCAAACAGGAUUAGAUACCCCUGUAGUCCCUGUCUCUUAUAC
rnacentral:rRNA from 1 species